rnacentral:rRNA from 1 species
AUUGAACGCUGGCGGCAUGCCUUACACAUGCAAGUCGAACGGUAACAGGUUAAGCUGACGAGUGGCGAACGGGUGAGUAAUGUAUCGGAACGUGCCCAGUCGUGGGGGAUAACUGCUCGAAAGAGCAGCUAAUACCGCAUACGACCUGAGGGUGAAAGCGGGGGAUCGCAAGACCUCGCGCGAUUGGAGCGGCCGAUAUCAGAUUAGGUAGUUGGUGAGGUAAAGGCUCACCAAGCCGACGAUCUGUAGCUGGUCUGAGAGGACGACCAGCCACACUGGGACUGAGACACGGCCCAGACUCCUACGGGAGGCAGCAGUGGGGAAUUUUGGACAAUGGGCGCAAGCCUGAUCCAGCCAUGCCGCGUGCGGGAAGAAGGCCUUCGGGUUGUAAACCGCUUUUGUCAGGGAAGAAAAGGUUCUGGCUAAUACCUGGGACUCAUGACGGUACCUGAAGAAUAAGCACCGGCUAACUACGU